UUUCUGUUUUCCAUUCUCUUCAGCUCAUGUGGCUCUCCGAAGCAGCAGACAUCUGUAGUGUGGCUAACGGAUAGGCAUAGCCUCCCAGCUUAAGCUCCCCCCUGGAUGUUCCACUGUACCUGACCCACAUGGAAGAAGGAAACAGAGAUGAUUCUCAGGAAACAUGGUGUGGUAGGAGGAUCGCUCACAUCCACCCUGUUCCCCAGCCAAGCCAACAGGCCACCUGACCAUCCCUGCACCUAAUGGAAAUGUGACCAGGCUUCCCAAGGGAGGCCAAGGUCUUCGCCAAGGUGGACUUCUCCUUUGCAUAUGUGCAAUUAAACGUGGAUAAAGAAAGCAAUCAUUACCCAAAAAAUCAACCCUACUAGAUCUUUAUACGUGUAUCAUGGACAAGAAAGAAGUCCAACACAGGCUGUGCACCAAGAUGAUGUUUCAAUCGCAAUGGCCACAGAGUAAAAUUUCUGAAUAAUUGAAGAGGUAUUCAAGAGAACUUCAUGAGCAUAACAUUAAGAACAAAAGUUUAAUUGCACCUAGGAGCAGAAAAAAAUGGUUUCUAUGGGCCCAAGGAUGGACAUAAAUGUUUCACAUCCAGUUAGGGAAGUUUGAGAUCAUUGUCAAGACCAGAAAACCCAAGAAUGUUCCCAGACUUUAGUCUUACCUUGGAAUGGUCCCAUGUUUUGAACCUCACAAAUGAUCUUAUUAUCAUUAUAUCAACUGCUGAAGAAGGAUGAAUGGGGAAAGGAACAAUCUCUGCUUCAGAAGUCUGAGUAGUAAGUCUCUCCUGGUGCACUAUAUUCCGAGCUCUGUCAUGACAAGAAACUACCAGGCAGACAGUGGAAAAGAUUCAAGGAUGUGCCUAAAGCCUCUUGAGAAAAUGUAAUAUCUCCACUGAUUCCUGAAAAUCUCUGGCCCAAGACUACUCAAAGUGGAGUAGGAGUAAGACUCAAAGUAAGACUCAGCAGUCAGCCUAGAUGAGUAUGUCACCACCAUUACUGACUUUAUCAGCCAGUGCGUUGAGGACUGUGUACCAAAGAGGACAAUACGGGUGUUCCCAAACUGGAAACCAUGGAUGAACCGGGAGAUCCACUCCCUACUGAAGUCUAGGACUGUGGUGUUCAAAUCAGGUGACUUUGACAUGUACAAGAAAUUGAGAUAUGAUCUCUGUAGAGCUAUCAGAGACACCAAGAGACAAUACCAGUCCAAAUUCGAGUCCCAGCCCAGCCGUCAGUUGUGGCAGGGCUUACAUGCUAUAACUGGCUACAAAACAAAGUCAGGCAGCAUAGUUAACAACAGCACAUCCCUUCCUGAUGAGCUCAAUGCAUUCCAUGCGUGUUUUGAAUGGGAGGGGAUUGGAAUGUCACCACCCAUCUCGACAGCCUCCAAAGCACCAGAACCCAUAGUCACUGUUGCAGAAGUAAAGUUAGUCUUCCGGAGAGUGAACCUGUAGAAAGCAUCUGGCCAGGAUGGUGUCCCUGGCCAUGUCCUUAGAUCCUGCACGGAUCAGCUGGCAGGGGUAUUCUCAGACAUUUUAAACCUCUCCCUGCUUCAAUCUGAGGUUCUCACCUGCUUUAAAAAGACCAUUAUCAUCCUGGUACCUCAGAAAAUAAAGGUAAUGUGCCUUAAUGUCUACCGCCCAGUGGAUCUAACAUCCACCAUCAUGAGAAGCUGGUCAUGGCACGUAUUAACUCCAGCCUCCCAGACCCACUGCAAUUCGCCUACCGCUGAAACAGGUCUACAGUGGACAUCAUCUCCCUGGUCCUGCACUCAUCUCUGGAGCAUCUGGGUGGUAAAGGCACCUAUGUUAGACUAUUGUUUAUUGACUACAGCUCCGCUAUAGUCUAUUGACUAUAAUUCCAAGCAAACUCAUCUCCAAACUCCUAGAUUUGGAAAUUAACACCUCCCUUUGCAACUGGAUCCUUGACUUCCCGACCAACAGACCGCAAUCAGUGAGGAUAGGCAGCAACACCUCCAGCAUGAUUAUUCUCAACACUGGUGCCCCACAAAGCUGUGUACUUAGCCCCCUACUCUACUCCCUACACACUCAUGACUGCAUGGCCAGAUUCUGCUUUAACUCCAUCUACAAUUUUGCAGAUGAUACUGUACCACCAUAGUGGGCCAUAUCUCAAAUAAUGAUGAGUUGAAGUAAAGGAAGGAGAUAGAGAGCCUAGUGACAUGGUGUCAUGACAACAACCUUUCCCUCAAUGUCAGCAAAACAAGAGAGCUGGUCAUUGACUUCAGGAAAGGGGACAGUGCACUGCUCCUGUUUACAUUAAUGAUGUUGAGGUCAAGAGGGUUGAGAGCUUCAAGUUCCUUGAAGGGAACAUCAUCAAUAGCCUAUCCUCGGCUAAACACAUAGAUGCCAUGACCAAGAAAGCUCACCAGCUUCACUACUUCCUCAGGAGGCUAAAGAAAUUUGGCAUGUCCACUUUGACCCUCACCAAUUUUUAUCGAUGAACCCUAGAAAGCAUCCUAUCCAGAUGCAUCAGGGAUUGGUAUGGCAACUGCUCUGUUUGUGACCACAAGAAACUGCAGAGAGUUGUGGACACAGCCCAGCACAUCACGAAACCAGCUUCCCCUCUACGCACUCUGUCUACAUUUCUCACUGGCUUGGUGAAGCAGCCAGCAUAGUCAAAGACCCUACACCACCCUAACAAUCUCUCUUCUUCUCCCCUUCUGUCAGGCAGAAAAAUCAAAAGCCUGAAAGCACAUACCGCCAUGCUCAAGCACAGUUUCUAUCCCACUGUUAUAAGACUAUUGAACAGUUCCCUCGUACAGUAAGAUGGACAAAAUCUACCUUGUUAUGACCUUGAACCUUACUGUCUACUUGCGCUGCACUUUCUCUGUAACUGUAACACUUUGGUCUGCAUUCUGCUAUUGCUUUACCUUGUACUACCUCAAUGCACUGUUGUAAUGAAUUGAUCUGUAUGAAUGGUAUGCAAGACAAGUUUUUCACUGUACCUCAGUACAUGUGACAAUAAUAAACCAAUUUGCCAAUUUAGGAACAGUUGGGAUGGUAUUGAGCAUCUCAUAUCCAUGCCAAGACUGCAGAUCACUGCCACCGAGAACACAAAUUCAUGUUGACUAUUAUGAGUAAAGUGUGGAUAACUCCUCGGCAUUGGUCAACAGCUAUUCAGAUUGAGGUAAAGGAUGUGGGGUCAUGCCCAACCAUGGAA